UACGGAGGAUGCAAGCGUUAUCCGGAAUGAUUGGGCGUAAAGCGUCCGCAGGUGGCUGUGUAAGUCUGCUGUUAAAGAGUGAGGCUCAACCUCAUAAAAGCAGUGGAAACUACACAGCUAGAGUGCGUUCGGGGCAGAGGGAAUUCCUGGUGUAGCGGUGAAAUGCGUAGAGAUCAGGAAGAACACCGGUGGCGAAGGCGCUCUGCUAGGCCGCAACUGACACUGAGGGACGAAAGCUAGGGGAGCGAACGGG
rnacentral:rRNA from 1 species